ensembl:lncRNA
AUGAAAAGUGAAACAUCCAAUAGUUUCUUUGUUAGAGUUUAUUAUGCUCACCGCACUCUGAGCAGAAACUUGACCAGCACAUUUCCAGAGAGUUUGUUUAGCUCUUCAAUCAAAACUCAUUUAAACGUAACAGUGAGAUGCAUUUGUGUUUGUUUCUUUGUUCUGUGAAUCAUUAGCACUUCAAAACAACAUAGCUGCUAGUUCUGUGGCUUUUGACAGUUAAAAUCAACUUGCUCUGUUAAAAUAUACUUCAUGUACAGGAGAGAGUAAACCACGGUUGUCUACGUCUGCCAGUUUAAAGACAAAAAUCACAUAGUUUGUUCUCAUUAUGUGAAUUAUAUCAGAUUUCUAAUAAUAUUGGUGAGAAUUAGGUUCAAAUUGAUUAUAUUCUGAAUCAUAAUACAAAGAUUUUAGUUUCAGGGUCAAAAUGUCAAAUUUUUUUCUCUCAGUGUGACUUAAAAUGUCUAAAUUUUUUGUUGUAAAUCUGAUGAUUUUGUCUUUGAACAUCCUGUUUUUUAUAUGUGAAUUUCAUUAUUAAUUAUCAUUCUUAGUCUAAUAACAAGACAUGAUAUUAUAUCUUAGAAACUCAUAAUUAGGACCUAAAACUGUAGUCAUUUCUUUUUAUCCUAUACUUAUAACCCUUAUAAAUAUGCUAUUACAUUUCCCUUUAUGCUGCACCUGAAAGAUAAAUUCUAGCUCUGUUUCAGACCACUUAUCCUGCAUGCACUAAUACUCACUAAUAUGGCAGCUUAGGAAGAGAUCAGAUGACACUUGCAGCACUUGUGCAAAUACCUAUUUAAUUAAAAGACAGUGAACUUGUUUUUUUAAGAUAUCAUUGAUGGAUUUUGCAGAUAGUUUUUUUAUUUCUUUUACAGCAGAGAUUAAUAACCUCUUUGUUUUUUCCAGUUUACAGCCGAAUGAGGAGGCGUGAUCCAGACCCUAAUAGAGACGUUUUUCCAGAUCAAAAUAUACUUUUUUCAGAGUUUUAACAUUUUUUUUUAUAUUUAUGUAUUGUAUUUUUUGCAGAUUAACUAUGACUUUUGAGUUAAGCUGUUCAUAAUUAUAUAUAUAUAUAUAUCUAUAUUAGGGCCGGGACUUUAACGCAUUAAUUACGAUUAAUUAAUUAGAAAAAAAUAACGCGUUAAAAAAAUUUACGCAUUUAAUCGCAGCUUGCAUUUCAAGCACGGCGGAACCUUUGUCAUUCACAACAAUGCACAGUGCUAAUGGCUACUAAAACGGAAUAAAAACAGAAAGAAGUUGCCUUGCUUGGACUGAUGCAGGAUUUAGGAAAAAAAAACUUCCAGACAACAACGGAGUCUGUGUCGCGGACAUUUUUCAGAGAUCGUCUCUGCUUCGGCUGCCCGGUGGCACCGGAAACAUUACAAAAGUUGCGGUAAGCUAUAUUUUUAACAUUUACGUAACAUCUGUGCAGCGCUGAAAGCACCAGACAGAAUAAUUCUGUGCCCUAACAGUAGUUUAUGAAAGUAGUCAGACAAACGAGAGGCACCUGGCUGCCGCUGGGAGAACGCUCCGUGUUCUCACUACUCUGUAAACAAUCACA